AGAGGACCGGAGUGGACGAACCUCUGGUGUUCCGGUUGUCACGCCAGUGGCAUUGCCGGGUAGCUAUGUUCGGAAGCGAUAACCGCUGAAAGCAUCUAAGCGGGAAGCGCGCCUCAAGAUGAGAUCUCCCGGGGCACAAGCCCCCUGAAGGAACCAUAUAGACUAUGUGGUUGAUAGGUCAGGUGUGUAAGUACAGCAAUGUAUUGAGCUAACUGAUACUAAUGAUCCGUGUGGCUUGACCAUAUAACCUCA
rnacentral:rRNA from 1 species